AAGACUGGAGAACGAAUGUUUAGAAUACUCUGGACAAAAGAGGAAUGUGUAUGUGUAUCUAAUCUGUACAUGUGUUCCCAUUAUUUGAAGUUCUCGUCUCGGUCUCUGGUUCUUCCAAGAGUUUUCACAAUUGACAAUGUUUCUGAAGCUAGGCUUACUGUGUGUUGUGCUCAUUGCUCUACUAGCAGUUUCUUCAGUGACUGAGGCUGAGAAGAACGGAGGGGGUAGAUCUAACCAGAAUAAUCCAGAAAAUGGGAGACAUGAUCAGAAUGACGAUAACAGAGAAAGUAAUCCAAACUCUCGGGGGCGUUCCGGCUGAGCUGUUACAUCAAAACCUUUUAUUCAUUAUGUCUAACAUAUAUCUCACAAUUCUUUUGUUUAGGAAGGACUCCUGAAAAUGCCUACCUUUACUACGUGUCAAUGAAAUCAUUUCUGUACACUCUGUUUCAAAUGUGUUCCUCUUUCAAAUGGUUG